UACGGGGGGGGCAAGCGUUGUUCGGAAUUACUGGGCGUAAAGGGCUCGUAGGCGGCCAACUAAGUCGGAUGUGAAAUCCCCAGGCUCAACUUGGGAACUGCAUCCGAUACUGGAUGGCUUGAAUUCGGGAGAGGGAUGCAGAAUUCCAGGUGUAGCGGUGAAAUGCGUAGAUAUCUGGAGGAAUACCGGUGGCGAAGGCGGCAUCCUGGACCGACAUUGACGCUGAGGAGCGAAAGCUAGGGGGAGCAAACGGG
rnacentral:rRNA from 1 species